rnacentral:tRNA from 1 species
AGGAUCGGCUGGGAAUCGAACCCGGGCCGUCCGCGUGGCAGGCGAGCAUUCUACCACUGAACCACCGAUGC